UGGAACCUGUCAAAAAGAAGAAAAUAAAGAUGCUCGUUCCGAUUUUAUGAUAUACGUGUAUGGAAGUGUUGCAGCCGUUUCCAUUCUGCUAUUAGUCUCGGGAGGUGCAGGUUACUUUUGGUACAAAAAAGCUCUAAGACUACGCAGGAUAGAGAAUGGAAAAAAAGAAAUCUGUGAGGAAAAAAAGAAGCAUUCAAAAAACAAUGCAUA